AUUGAACGCUGGCGGCAUGCCUUACACAUGCAAGUCGAACGGUAACAGGUCUUCGGAUGCUGACGAGUGGCGAACGGGUGAGUAAUACAUCGGAACGUGCCUAGUAGUGGGGGAUAACUACUCGAAAGAGUGGCUAAUACCGCAUGAGAUCUACGGAUGAAAGCAGGGGAUCGCAAGACCUUGCGCUACUAGAGCGGCCGAUGGCAGAUUAGGUAGUUGGUGGGAUAAAAGCUUACCAAGCCGACGAUCUGUAGCUGGUCUGAGAGGACGAUCAGCCACACUGGGACUGAGACACGGCCCAGACUCCUACGGGAGGCAGCAGUGGGGAAUUUUGGACAAUGGGCGAAAGCCUGAUCCAGCAAUGCCGCGUGCAGGAUGAAGGCCUUCGGGUUGUAAACUGCUUUUGUACGGAACGAAAAGCCCUGGGUUAAUACCCUGGGGUCAUGACGGUACCGUAAGAAUAAGCACCGGCUAACUACGUGCCAGCCGCCGCGGUAA
rnacentral:rRNA from 1 species